rnacentral:rRNA from 1 species
GAUGAACGCUGGCGGCGUGCCUAAUACAUGCAAGUCGAGCGAACAGAUAAGGAGCUUGCUCCUUUGACGUUAGCGGCGGACGGGUGAGUAACACGUGGGUAACCUACCUAUAAGACUGGGAUAACUUCGGGAGACCGGAGCUAAUACCGGAUAAUAUUUCGAACCGCAUGGUUCGAUAGUGAAAGAUGGUUUUGCUAUCACUUAUAGAUGGACCCGCGCCGUAUUAGCUAGUUGGUAAGGUAACGGCUUACCAAGGCGACGAUACGUAGCCGACCUGAGAGGGUGAUCGGCCACACUGGAACUGAGACACGGUCCAGACUCCUACGGGAGGCAGCAGUAGGGAAUCUUCCGCAAUGGGCGAAAGCCUGACGGAGCAACGCCGCGUGAGUGAUGAAGGUCUUCGGAUCGUAAAACUCUGUUAUUAGGGAAGAACAUACGUGUAAGUAACUGUGCACGUCUUGACGGUACCUAAUCAGAAAGCCACGGCUAACUACGUG